rnacentral:rRNA from 1 species
AGCAGCCGCGGUAAUUCCAGCUCCAAUAGCGUAUAUUAAAGUUGUUGCAGUUAAAAAGCUCGUAGUUGAAUUUCGGGGUCAAUACGUCGGUCGUGCCUCGGUACGCACUAACGUUAUUGAUUCCUCCCUUCUGACGAACCGUGAUGUCAUUAAUUUGGUGUUGCGGGGAAUCAGGACUGUUACCUUGAAAAAAUUAGAGUGUUUAAAGCAGGCAAUCGCUCGAAUACAUUAGCAUGGAAUAAUGAAAUAGGACGUUCGAACCUAUUUUGUUGGUUUCUAGGAUCGACGUAAUGAUUAAUAGGGAUAGUUGGGGGCAUUAGUAUUCAAUUGUCAGAGGUGAAAUUCUUGGAUUUAUUGAAGACUAACUACUGCGAAAGCAUUUGCCAAGGAUGUUUUCAUUAAUCAAGAACGAAAGUUAGGGGAUCGAAGACGAUCAGAUACCGUCGUAGUCUUAACCAUAAACUAUGCCGACUAGGGAUCGGAUGAUGUUAAUUUUUUAAUGACUCAUUCGGCGUCUUACG